UCUGGAUUUUUACUUCUAUGGCUCCUUUGCAUCAUAAGGUUCGAGGUUCCAGUUCCUCUCAUGGUGUAAUGAUCUCAGUGGAGACCAAUAAUUUUCAAGGAGACAUUCAAACUACGUUAUUACCAGAAGGACCGAAUAACUCAGAUGCUGCCAGGAGGUGCACUGUCCAAAUUUGGAAUCCUGGCAUCAUAUUAGCCAGUACUGCUUGAUGUACCCAAAUCAGUGAAUAAGGCCAUGGAAACCAUUAAGCUUGGGAAGGUUGUAGCUCAUCAGUUCUUAAAGGAAAAAGGCAAGGAGAAAGUAUGUGCCGACUUAUGACAUUAGUCACUUCUCUGCCAGUUUGUGACAUAAAGGAAAAGUGCAAAGAAAGAAGAAGGUGUGCAAAUAUCGUUUUUUGGUGAUAUUGGCCCAAUUGGUGGACACAACCUUUGUAUUGGCCCUUCCCAUAACUGAUAGCUCCCUCUCUACAGAGUUAGUACAUGUAAAUGCAGUUCUCAGAUAUAAACAUAUUAAUUAGGAGCAGGAGGAAACUCCAUAGCUCCUCAAUCAUGCUUGACCAUUUAAUAAGGUCAUGGCUGAUCUGGUUAUUCCACAAUUCCACUUAACCAAUAAAGCUUCACCCCCUUGCUAAGCAAGAAUCUGUCUACCUCUGUCUUAAAAAAAUAUUCAAAUUACCAAACAGUGACCCCUAGUUCAAGAUUCUUCCACAAGAGGAAACAUCCUUUCUCCAUCUACCCUGUCAAGACCUCUCCGGAUCUUAUAUUACUUAAUCAAUUUGCCUUUACUCUUCUAAACUCCUUGCCUUUACUCUUCUAAACUCCAGCAGAUAGAAGUCUCACUUCUCCAACCUUUUCUAAUUACACAAACUCGCCAUUCCAAGUAUUAGUCUAGUAAAUUUUGUCUGAACUGUUUCCAGCAUAUUGACAUUUUUCCUGAAAUAAGGAGACUGAUGCUGUACACAGUACUCCAGUACUCUCACCAGUGCCCUGUACAACUGAAGUAUAACAUCCCUACUUAUGUAUUCAAGUCCCCUCACAAAAGACAAAGACAUCCUAAUAGCUUUCCUAUUUACUUGCUGUAGCUGCACACUAAUCUUUUGUGAUUCAUGUACCAGGAUAUCUGGAUUCUUUUGCAUUUCAGAGCUCUGCAAUAUCUCAAUAUUUAGAUCAUGUGUCUUUGUUUUAUUUUCCUGCCAAAAUGGACAAUUUCACAUUGUCCCAUUAUACUCCACUUGUCAGAUCUUUACCCAGUCAUUCAAUCUAUUUCUAUUUCUUUGAGGCUUUCUUAUAUCCUCUUUUCAGCUUAGUUUCCUAUCCAUGUUGUUUCCCCAGCAGAUUUGGCAACUAUACCUUGCACUUUUCAUCCAAGUCGUUUAUAUAAAUUGUGGAAGUUGAGGUCUGAGCACCAAUUACUGUCUCACACCAUUAAUUACAUCUUAACAACAAAAAUGGUGCAUUUAUGACUGAGAUAACAAGGUGUAGAGCUGGAUGAACACAGCAGGCCAAGCAACAUCAAAGGAGCAGGAAGGCUGACGUUUCGGGUCGAGACCCUUCUUCAGAAAAUUCCUGCUCCUUUGAUGCUGCUUGGCCUGCUGUGUUCAUCCAGCUCUACACCUUGUUAUCUCAGAUUCUCCAGCAUCAGCAGUUCCUACUAUCUCUGUAACGCAUUUAUGACUGAUAUCUGUUUCCCAGCUAGCCAAUAUGUUAUCGCCUACACCUUUGAGCUUUUAUUUUCUGCAAUAAUCUUUGAUGUGGCUCCUGUUUAAAUGCAUUCUGGAAAUCUAGGUAUAGAAUCCCUACAGUGUGAAAGCAGGCCAUUCGGCCCAUAGAGUACACAGUGAUCCUCUGAAGAGCAUUCCACCCAGACCCAUUCCCUCCAUUUCACAUGGCUUAUCCCUGGACACUAUGGGCAAUUUAGCAUGACCAAUUUACCUAACCUGCCCCUCUUUGGACUGUGGGAGGAAACCAGAGCACGCAGAGGCAACCCAUGCAGACACGUGGAGAAUGUACAAAUUCCACACAGACUGUUGCCCGAGGGUGGAAAUAAACCCGGGUCCUUGGCACUGCAAGGCAGCAGUGCUAACCACUGAGCCACCGUGCAUCCAUACAUCUGAGUUUGUCCACAGUCAUUACUUUUUCAAAGAACUACAAUAAAUUGGGUAAGCAUGAUUUCCCUUUCACAAAACCAUGUUGACUCUGCCUGAUUGCCUUGGAUUUUUGUAAGUGCCCUGUUAUAACAUCUUUCAUAAUAGAUUCCAACAUGUUCCCUGUGGCCUGUAGUUUCUUGUGUUCAAAC